rnacentral:rRNA from 1 species
AUACGGAGGGUGCGAGCGUUGUUCGGAAUUAUUGGGCGUAAAGCGCGUGUAGGCGGUUUGUUAAGUCUGAUGUGAAAGCCCCGGGCUCAACCUGGGAAGUGCAUUGGAUACUGGCAGACUUGAAUACGGGAGAGGGCAGUGGAAUUCUUGGUGUAGGAGUGAAAUCCGUAGAUAUCAGGAGGAACACCGGUGGCGAAGGCGGCUGCCUGGACCGAUACUGACACUCAGACGCGAAAGCUAGGGUAGC